rnacentral:rRNA from 1 species
GACGAACGCUGGCGGCGUGCCUAAUACAUGCAAGUAGAACGCAGUUGCGAACGGGUGAGUAACGCGUAGGUAACUGCCUCAUAGCGGGGGAUAACUAUUGGAAACGAUAGCUAAUACCGCAUACUGGGGGAUGGACCUGCGUUGCAUUAGCUAGUUGGUGAGGUAAAGGCUGACCAAGGUGACGAUACAUAGCCGACCUGAGAGGGUGAUCCGCCAAACCGGGACUGAGAACAGGCCCCGACCUCCACGGGGAGCAGCAGUAGGGAAACAUCGGCAAAGGACGGAAAGCUGACCGAGCAACGCCGGGGUAGAGAAGAAGGUUCUCGGAUUGUAAAACUCUGUUGUUCGGGAAGCGGUAACUAACCAGAAAGGGCCGGCUAACUACGUGCCAGCAGCCGCGGUAAUUC